AUGCCAACUUUUGCCAUGACUGUUCUUUGUCUGCCAAAAAAACGUCUCAAGGAAAUAGACAAGACGAGACAUAGGUUUCUAUGGGCGCAAGAAGAGGAGCUAUCGGGAGGGAAGUGCAAAGUGAAUUGGAAAACAGUUUGUACACGGAUUGAGAAUGGAGGAUUAGGGAUACAAGACCUUCACAAUUUCGGUAGAGCACUGCGUCUACGAUGGCUGUGGUUGGCCUGGGCGUGA
rnacentral:rRNA from 1 species